UACAGAGGGGGCAAGCGUUGUUCGGAAUUACUGGGCGUAAAGGGCGCGUAGGCGGCCUUCUAAGUCGAACGUGAAAUCCCCGGGCUCAACCCGGGAACUGCGUCCGAUACUGGAAGGCUUGAAUCCGGGAGAGGGAUGUGGAAUUCCAGGUGUAGCGGUGAAAUGCGUAGAUAUCGGGAGGAACAUCGGUGGCGAAGGCGGCUCUCUGGACCACAACUGACGCUGAGGCUCGAAAGCUAGGGGAGCAAACAGG
rnacentral:rRNA from 1 species